AAUGCAAAUCGGCUCACCGCUCUUUCGGGAGAGGAAAGUCCAGACAGCACAGAGCACCGUACCGCAUGUAAAUGUGGGUGUUAAGGAAGAAAUUCUUUAGCAACAGCAAGUGUCACAGAAAAUAACCGCUCCAAUUUAUUGGAGUAAGGGUGAAAAUGUGAGGUAAGAGCUCACGCGUUUCGGUGGCGACAUUGGAAUGGGACAAACCUUGCGGGCUGCAAGACCAAAUAGGUCAGGAUUUAAGGGCUGCUCGCUCUUUCCUGAUGGGUAGGUUGCGUAGAUAAAUGGUGAGCUAAAACAGGAUCUGGCUUACGGGUUUGCAAAAACG
rnacentral:RNase_P_RNA from 1 species